rnacentral:rRNA from 1 species
GACGAACGCUGGCGGCGUGCUUAACACAUGCAAGUCGAACGGAAAGGCCCUGCUCUUGUGGGGUGCUCGAGUGGCGAACGGGUGAGUAACACGUGAGUAACCUGCCCUUGACUUUGGGGUAACUUCAGGAAACUGGGGCUAAUACCGGAUAGGAGCUCCUGCUGCAUGGGGGGGGAUGGAAAGUUUCGGCGGUUGGGGAUGGACUCGCGGCUUAUCAGCUUGUUGGUGGAGUAGUGGCUUACCAAGGCUUUGACGGGUAGCCGGCCUGAGAGGGUGACCGGCCACAUUGGGACUGAGAUACGGCCCAGACUCCUACGGGAGGCAGCAGUGGGGAAUAUUGCACAAUGGGCGGAAGCCGGAUGCAGCAACGCCGCGUGCGGGAUGACGGCCUUCGGGUUGUAAACCGAUUUCGCCUGUGACGAAGCGUGAGUGACGGUAAUGGGUAAAGAAGCACCGGCUAACUACGUG